UCUGGUGGCACGUGCCUAUAGGCUUAUCUACUCGGGAGGCUGAGGUGGGAGGAUUGCUUGAGUCCAGGAGUUCUGGGCUGUAGUGUGCUAUGACAAUUGGGUGUCUGCACUAAGUUCAGCAUCAACAUGGUGACCUCCCGGGAGUGCGAGACCACCAGGUUGCCUAAGGAGGGGUGAAUCAGCCCAGUUGGGAAAUGGAACAGGUCAAAACUCCUGUGCUGAUCAGUAGUGGAAUCUCACCUGCAAAUAGCCACUGUACUCCAGUCUGGGCAGCAUAAUGAGACCCCAUCUCUU
ensembl:misc_RNA Metazoa_SRP Metazoan signal recognition particle RNA